rnacentral:tRNA from 1 species
GGCGGAUGUAGCCAAGUGGACAAAGGCAGU